rnacentral:rRNA from 1 species
UUAGUUGCAUUUUCCAUAAGCGGAGGAAAAGAAACUAACAAGGAUUCCCCUAGUAACGGCGAGUGAAGAGGGAAGAGCUCAAAUUUGAAAGCUGGUACCUUCGGUAUCCGCGUUGUAACCUCGAGACACGUUUUCCGUGCGGCGCUAUGGACAAGUUCCUUGGAACAGGACAUCGUAGAGGGUGAAAAUCCCGUACUUGCCAUGGAUGUACCGUGCUUUGCGAUACGUGCUCUAAGAGUCGAGUUGUUUGGGAUUGCAGCUCAAAAUGGGUGGUAGACUCCAUCUAAAGCUAAAUAUCGGGGAGAGACCGAUAGCGAACAAGUACCGUGAGGGAAAGAUGAAAAGCACUUUGGAAAGAGAGUUAAAAGUACGUGAAAUUGUCGAAAGGGAAGCGCUUGAAGUCAGCCAUGCCGCUCAGGACUCAGCCUGGCUUUUGCUUGGUGUAUUUCCUGGGUAGCAAGUCAGCAUUGGUUUGGAUCGUCGGAGAAGCAUAGUCGGAAUGUGGCGCCCUCGGGCGUGUUAUAGCCUUCUAUUGGAUACGACGAUCUAGACCAAGGAACGCAGCGCGCCUUAUGGCGGGUCUUCGGACACCUUCGCGCUUAGGAUGCUGGCGUAAUGGCUUUAAGUGGCCCGUCUUGACCGGG